CGCCGCCGCCCGCGGCCCCGACCGAGCAGGCGCCGCGGGCCAAGGGCCGCCCGAGACGGUCCCCAGAGAGCCACCGGAGGAGCCACUCACCUGAGCGCCGGAGCCCCGGCUCGCCCGUGUGCAGAGGUAGCGAGCCCAACCCUUGCGUCCCCCCGGGCUGCGUCUCCCCGACGGUGCCCUCCGUGGAAACUUCAGCCUCUCCGGGCUUCUCUUUGCUAGUGCAUUAUGGAAGGUGUGAAAGUGGCUUUGGGAACCUCACCCGUCUGCGGUCGCUGCGGGGCUUGGAUGAGCGACCUGCGGAGCAACUUUUAUUUGACCCUCCUGCCGCCCCUCAGCUUUUACCUUCCAUCACUCGCCUGGAUCGAAAGGUUUUUCAGUUUAAGAGCUGAUUAACUCACUCAUGUGUUUGCUGUUUGUAGUGGGGGAAGGAGGAGCUGGGCGAAACACUUAAAAACAACACGCACACAAACUCUCCGGCAGCAGUGGACAGGCCAAAAUCUCAUCAAGUUCGAACCUCUGGUACAAUAAGGCGAACCUCUUCUUUGGAUACGAUAACAGGACGUUAUCUCACAGGACAGUGGCCACGAGAUCCUCAUGUUCAUUACCCUUCAUGCAUGAAAGAUAAAGCUACUCAGUUCCAGAAAUGACGUCUGCUGAAGGGAGAACAUGUUCUAGCAAUGAAAUCUUCAAAAGACUCCUGCUGCUGCUCUGUGACUGGGACCCCCAGGUUGUCUUUGGAAGUUUCUAAGGCCUCCUGAGUAGAGACUGGGACAUGGAAGGAGUCGAGAGGCAAAGGAAGCCCAGCAUCACCUGUAAUUUUCUGAAACUGGAGGGAAAGACAAAAGACAAGACAAAAAUUCAGUGAUGAACAAAGCCAACCAUUAAAAAGUAGAGUUCAAAACGUCAGUGUUAUUCUGUGAUCUUAUUAUUAACACAGUAAUUGAUUAUUCAGAAGAUUUCAGAGCCAGUUUUUUUCUAAUUCUAUCUUGCCAAGUGAUUCUCAACUUAACCUAGCUAUAUCCAAGGCUAUGUCUGCUACAUUUUCAGACUUUGGUGAUUGGGGUAGUUAUUACCCAUUUCCUUUCCCUCACUAAAAAUGAAACCCUACUCUGUAAGAAAAUUAAUUUCUUUUCUAUCCUCCAGGCACAUGUAAACAGUAUAUAGUUUGUGACCAGACUGUGUUCUCAAGCUGUCAGUUCCCAAGACCAGUCUGAGAUUGGCUGAGGUGGGUGAAGGGGGCUCCAAGUAACGCUAGAGGAAAAGCUGACAUGUUUCCCCUCCCAUUCCCAUGACCAGGUGGACUGCUAACAGUAGAAUUCAUCUGGGGACGACCUAGUAAAUGAAAAUCUGACUGAUCUAUACCAGCCAUUGUGGCAAAAUUGUUCCCGGUUGAGAACCACUGACCUGUAUCUUCCCUGAAGAUUAAUAAUAAUUUUUAUGUCUAAGACAAAAAUAACUUUAAUUCAAACUUAUCAAACAAGCAAAAUAAAUGAAAGAUAGGAAAAUUCUUAUCCAUUCCCAAGUAUUUUCAAUGGACACUGCCUUCAAUUUAGUCUUCACAAAAAACUAUACCUACUAAUUACUCUGUCUACAGGUUACUCUUUUAUAAUGGGCUCCCCACUCUACCAAAGCAGGCUGCCCUAUUUGCAUUUCUUAAAAAAUUUAAUUCCUCAUUUUAAAACGUCAACUAUAUUACCGAUAAUUAUACUAAAUUUGGCUAAAUAUGGCCACGUAAGUGAUGAAAAUCGCUCCAGUUCCUCAGCAAACUACCGUUAUAGUCGCAAAGAGAAGAAUGCCAUGAAGAGAAAUGAACUAACCCAGCAUCUUUAAGGAGAUCCAAGAAAGCAUGGAACUUCUGAAAAGAAUUCUCAGUGCUGCCCAAAACACCUUCCUCAUCCAGGAUCAUGCUUGUCAAUGAGUGGGCAUGAAGGCCUUCAGACAAAGAGAAUUUUAUAUUUCUUUAACUGGGCAUUUUCAUGUUCCAGCUAUAAAAGAAGACUGAAAAUGUCUGACAUGCUUUUUUCUCAUUGUCAUCAAAAGUAGUCUUGUCUAGUUUCAAGGAACAAAACUAAAACACUCAAAAUGUAAUUAACCUGUAAUUAACCUAACUCGCCACCAGUAAAGACAGAGACCAUAUCACAUUAUAACCAAAACCCCCAGGCACCCAACAAAGUUUCCUAUAUAACACUUAGCUGGUACAUAAAUAAACCAAAGUUAUCGUUUUAUUAAUGAUCUUUCACAAAAGAUCACAUUUCUAACUGGUUAAAUUCAUAAUGGAGCCUCAUUCCACAUUAGAAAAUUACCUGCUUUAAGUUUCCGUUAAAUUAGAAAGUGAAUUAUAGAAUCUGAUUUGAACAAAACAUAUUACAACUCUGCUGAAUGUUAAGAAUUAACUUUAGUGAGCAUACUAUCUAAUGCUUACGUUUAAAAGUCCUAAAUCAUACCCAACCCAAUUUAUUAAAUGUACGAUCACCAAUAUUUUCUUUGGCUUCUUGAAAAUAUUCACUCCCGUGCACUCUUCCCCUUCCGCUCAUCACCUAUGCACUUAAAACCCCUAUAAGCUCAACUCUAGUAUUUCUCAGAAAGGCUGUUAUGUUCAUGAUGCCCCUUUUGCCUUAUAUAAGCAGGUGCUCAACACUUAUUGAAUGAGUGUCCGCCAAUCCAACGGAUGCACUUUGAAAAAUUCCUCCCUACGUUCAACCUAUGAUAAAGUAUAUUUAGAUGGAACUUUUUAGA